UUUUGAGUAUAAUUUGUCUGUAGUCUGUGUAAGUAGGUUUUCCCUCUUUUCCAGAUUCUUUGUGGGCAAAUAGGAGAAGGAUUUAUUCCUUUAACACAAGCAGCAUAAAAAGCAUUUGGUGGAACCCUGACAACUGAUAUCCCCGACAGUCCCAAUAUGGCCUUACUCAAACCAGAGGUUUUGGAUUCUGCUCUGAAAUUCCACAGGUGUGGAACUUGCCCUUGUCCUGUCAGUCAGAGCUUUACAAAAGCAUGGUGCUUGCACCUUACAUUUCAGCGAGACAAGCUCAGAAUGGAUCUGCUGACCAAACAUUUAUGCCCAAGUAUGAAAAGCUACAAGAGGAAAUAGACAACCAGAAAUAUCACCUGCAAAUCCCUGACAUGCUGGGAG
rnacentral:lncRNA from 1 species